rnacentral:rRNA from 1 species
AUUGAACGCUGGCGGCAGGCUUAACACAUGCAAGUCGAACGAGUGGCGGACGGGUGAGUAACGUCUGGGAAACUGCCCGAUGGAGGGGGAUAACUACCGGAAACGGUAGCUAAUACCGCAUACCAUCGGAUGUGCCCAGAUGGGAUUGGGUAGUAGGUGGGGUAAUGGCUCACCUAGGCGACGAUCCCUAGCUGGUCUGAGAGGAUGACCGGCCACACUGGAACUGGGACACGGUCCAGAUCCCUACGGUAGGCAGCAGUGGGGAAUAUUGCACAAUGGGCGAAGGCCUGAUGCGGCCAUGCCGCGUGUAUGAAGAAGGCCUUCGGGUUGUAAAGUACUUUCAGCGAGGAGGCGUUACUCGCAGAAGAAGCACCGGCUAACUCCGUGCCAGCAGCCGCGGUAAUUC